rnacentral:rRNA from 1 species
CUGAGAGUUUGAUCCUGGCUCAGGAUGAACGCUGGCGGCGUGCUUAACACAUGCAAGUCGAACGGUGAAGCUCAGCUUGCUGGGUGGAUCAGUGGCGAACGGGUGAGUAACACGUGAGCAAUCUGCCCCUGACUCUGGGAUAAGCGCUGGAAACGGCGUCUAAUACUGGAUACGAACCGUGGAGGCAUCUUCAACGGUUGGAAAGAUUUUUUGGUCAGGGAUGAGCUCGCGGCCUAUCAGCUUGUUGGUGAGGUAACGGCUCACCAAGGCGUCGACGGGUAGCCGGCCUGAGAGGGUGACCGGCCACACUGGGACUGAGACACGGCCCAGACUCCUACGGGAGGCAGCAGUGGGGAAUAUUGCACAAUGGGCGAAAGCCUGAUGCAGCAACGCCGCGUGAGGGAUGACGGCCUUCGGGUUGUAAACCUCUUUUAGCAGGGAAGAAGCGAAAGUGACGGUACCUGCAGAAAAAGCGCCGGCUAACUACGUGCCAGCAGCCGCGGUAAUACGUAGGGCGCAAGCGUUAUCCGGAAUUAUUGGGCGUAAAGAGCUCGUAGGCGGUUUGUCGCGUCUGCUGUGAAAUCCCGAGGCUCAACUUCGGGUCUGCAGUGGGUACGGGCAGACUAGAGUGCGGUAGGGGAGAUUGGAAUUCCUGGUGUAGCGGCGGAAUGCGCAGAUAUCAGAGGAACACCGAUGGCGAAGCAGAUCUCUGGGCCGUAACUGACGCUGAGGAGCGAAAGGUGGGGAGCAAACAGGCUUAGAUACCCUGGUA